UGCUCAGAACUCCGAUCUCAAACCUCCUCGUGGUGCUAGCUGGAGUAUGAUUGUCGUACAUUUCGUGCGAAAAUCAUACACUGAUUGAGACGG
rnacentral:ribozyme from 1 species